rnacentral:lncRNA from 1 species
GCUAUCUUUCUCUCUCUACAUACGCGGCUCUUUCUCCUCUCGGACGUGUAACAUCAAGCUCCUCUUGCUUUUGGUGCUUUGAGUUGUUUUUUUACCUUGCAAACACCUGCGUUUUACGGAGAUCAACAAUAUAUUUUGGGGUUAAACAUUAUCUCUUCAGGUUUUCAUGGGGAUUAGCAAUAUAUUUUGGGGGUUAAACAUUGUCUCUUCAGGUUAGAUUACUUCGACACCCUUGUUUUUGGCAAAUAUGAUGUUUACUUUAAGGUUAUAUUGGACAGUUUAUUGAAGUGUUUAGCUAUGAUAGUUGAAUAAAUUCUGGAUUACACUCUGUUCUGCUUAGGUUUUUUGUCGAUAUUUCUUGCUCCGCUUCUCCACUAUUCGCCUUUUCGUCACUGUGCUCGUUUCCUCACAGAUUAUUACUUUGUUUGAUCUUUAAUUUUAAAAAUAUAUUAGAUAACUUGUUGAAUUUUUCAGUUGUAUGAUGUUUAUUAAUUACUAGUUACAUAAGUUAAAGGGAUAAAAACUAUCGUGUUAACUGAAGGUGACUUUUUGAUGAGCAAAGUUAAUGGAUUACGAAGAAACAAAGAUAAUAACUCUAUUUAUAUAAUUAGAAGAACCCUGUAUGGUAGACCGAAACUUAUACAUUAAAGUAUAAAUAAAGUAUUGACCAUUUUAUUAUACUGAUUUCCUUCUAUAGAUUUUAUUUGAUUGUUGAUUUUUGUAGAAUUAACUUUUUAUUUCGUGAAGUAGUUGUUUACCUUUCAAUGGAUCUUGACACACUGAAGCUGAAUCCUCUUGGAUUAACAUAUGCUUUUUCAAUUUAUGUCUGUGCUCUGGAGCUCUGUGCGAAUGUUUGUGUGAUUUUAUGAGCCGAAAGAUAGAUUACUGUAGCUCUUUCAUACAAUCUUUAUUGUGCUGACUAAAUUACCCUUCUGCUGAUAUGCGACUAUCAAGCCAGACCCCCUUUUCCAACCCAACAAGCUUACUUUCUUCUUUCUGUUGUCAUUAAUUAAUAUAGCGCAGAUUUAAAAUCAUAUAAAACAAAAACCUCAGUUUGCAUACUCUUUUUUUAGGACUAAUAACUUAAGUUUAAUCAAGGUUGCUCCUUAAUUAAAUUAUUUUAUUCUCUUGAUAUUUUUGGUUCCGCUUUCCUACUACUUUUGUCUCUCUGCUUGGUCGCUAUAGGUUAUUAUUUUGCGCUUCAUAUUUCAUCUCCUUCUUCGUAUUUAUGUGUCCGAGUUAACUGAAAAAGUUUCUUUAUUAGAAGUAUUUAUUAUCUUUUUUAAUAGAAAUAUAUAAAGGACUACACAAGCAUCUCUCUAUAUAUUUGCAUAUAUACUUGUGAACUUGUCGUGCUUUUGUGCGGUUGUGACUUUACCACAAAACAUAUUGUUGUUUUAUUAAUCUAUAGGUUAAAGAAAGGUCAUUUUAUUUCGUUCUUUUAGUAUCCGAAUUAGGGAGUUUGUAUAGCAAAGGUGAAACUUCUGGAUUUUUAGCGAUUUUUGCGAUGUAAGAGGAUCAAUAAAACUCUUUUAGAAAAAUCGUUGAUUUUAAUUCAUGAUGUUGCUUGAACUUAAAGACAUUGUAAUGGAAUGGAAUUAAGUAAAUAGGCAUUAGUAUGGCCAGGGGUGAAGAUUAUCCCCUCUAUUAACACAUUGAUUGUCUUUGAAAUAAACAUUAUAACCAAAGGAACCAAAUGGGACUGGGGAUCAUCCCAAAGGCUUGUCUUGCCGCCUUAUUCUUAUUCCUUCCCUUUUCUUUUCUUGAGAUACAAUAUGAAUUUUGGGGACCUUCAUUGGCCGACUCUUUUAUUUGCUGCCAUGCUUCAAAAUCGAUGAUACCUCCAAACCACAUUUUCACCUUGAUGGACUCCAGCCUGUUUUAUCAUGGAAUAUGAAUACACGUGGAGAAAUAAAUUUAUUAGCACUGUGAAUUGAGGGUGAUAACAGAACCUGUUUGACAUGGAGUAUAUUAAUUGAAUUAUUAACUCGACUCUGUGUAAAAAAAUGCAGUGAAUAAAUUUUCAUAGAUUGUAUGUUCGCUUUUAGUGUUCUGUUGGAAUGAAUAAAAAAAAAUAUUCAAACCUAUCUAAAUUGGAAUUUGAUACGAUGCUACAAGAUGUUCGAUAAAGAACUCAAAACAUAUCUAACUGGACUUGGAAGGUGACUUGAAACACCGAAAGACUUAAGCUCUAUAUAAUAGGGAUAAUAUUGGGUAUGUUGUCGUUCAUUUCCGAAUAUGCUGCUUGGGACACAAGUGUCUUAUUUAUAUCAGGAUGCUAGAAUUGAGUUAAGACACCUCUACCUCUGUGAACUGUAAAUACUUCUAAUCAUAAGAGAGACUGAAUGUUGCUUGAUACUUUAACGCCUUGAUGUGGGGGAUGAUAGCAAAAACAUUGUUGGGAUAUUACUAUUGUAACUUAUACUAAAGUUGAUCAAAAUUAACUUAUUCUUCAAAGAAGAAAUAAUGCAACCAAAGACUAGCAGUAAAUAUGAUCUUUUUGGCUUGAAUUUAUUUUCUCUGUUCUGCUAUCAACUGAAGUUUCUACGGUUUUGAUUAAUCAUAUUAAAUAGAAACAAAGUUAUUUUUUUCCGAAUGAGUGAAAAUAGAACGAUAAAUAAAUAGAAAAUGUUACUGCAUGUCCCAUUACAGACAUGGGAUCCAAAGGAUUAUUCAAAGUGCUAUCUUGCGAUGAGUUUAAUAUAGCUAUGUUACUCUCUUUUAACCCCUCACGAAUUGAGCUUCUCAAACUAUAUCUCAAAUAAUAAUAAACGGAUGCAUCUCAUAGAAAUUUAUCCAUUCUUUUUAGGAAUUUUUACCUCCUAUGGCAAAGGUUAACACCUUAUUUAUUUUAAAUAAAUACCAUUUAAAAAAAUUAUAUUCUAUAGAUACCUUUUAAUGUUUAUAGCAAAAUAUCUAAUUUUGAUUACCUCCUAUCCCUAAGCUACUAAAUACGCUAUUUAGUUACACUAUUUUCUUUCUCUUUCUACUUUGAUACAUCACAUUCUCUUCCUCCAUCCCAUUAAAACUUCUGCUCUCCUCCUCCUUCUAACGCACAACAACAACAAACCCUAACCCACACAAAACAAGCGCAAACCAUCAUUCUUUUUCGCUAAGUAUUUAGUUUAAUUUGGUUCACCAAAUUUGACAGCUCCAUAUAUAGUUUUUAUGCUUACCCCAAAAAACUUUAGUUUAAGGAAGGAUGCACGAUCUGUCAAGAUCAAGAAGAAUAUGGAUAUGGUCAAAUUCAAGGUUCGCUGCUCCAAUGUGAUGACCCAAAAGGUCAUCACUUGCUUUUAAAUUAAAUUUUGUAUUUUCAAGGCCUUGAAAACCUCAUUUAGAGUCACCUCGAUUUGCAUGUGCAGUCCGAGCGCGUAACCGGAAAAAUUAAAUAUGAAAAUUUGUGAAAAAUGAUAAAAUUUGGCUAUAAAGUGAGUUAAUUUGACUUCGGUCAACGUUUUGGGUAAACGGACCCGGACCCGUGAUUUGACAGUUUCGAAGGGUCCGUAGGAAAGUAUGGGACUUGGGCGUAUGCCCGGAAUCGAAUUCCGAGGUCCCAAGCCCGAGAAAUGAAUUUUUUUAAAAACUUAUUUUCUGAAAUUGUUUAAAGGAGUUUGAAAUGAAAUUUGAUUAGAACAUGAUGGUAUCGGGCUCGUAUUUUGGUUCCGGCACCCGGUACAAGUCUUAUAUAUGAUUUAAGAUGUUUCUGUGGAAUUUGGUGAAAAACGGAUGUCAUUUGACAUGAUUCGGACCUAAAUUGAUAAAAUUGAUGUUUUAAGAAGUUUGAGAAAAUUCUUUGAUUUUGAGGUUUAAUUCAUUGUUAAUGAUAUUAUUUUGGCGAUUUGAUAGCACGAAUAAGUUCGUAUGAUGUUGUUGAGUUAGUACGUAUGUUUGGUUAGGAGCCCCGAGGGCUCGGGUGUGUUUCAGAUGUGUUUCGGAAGGAUUUGGACUUAAGAAAAGUUGCACGUUUUUGUUGUUCAGUGCUCAGGGAUUUUACCCUUCGCGUUCGCGUGGUCCCACUCGCGAACGCGUAAGGCAAAUAUCCCAGGUGCCCAAUUUCUUCUUCGCGAACACGAAGCUCGAGAUGCGAAUGCGAAGCUGAGGGGGGAGACCCUCCGUGAACGCGUCCCUGCACUCGCGAACGCGUAAGGUCCUCGGGAGGGAUCACCAAUUUGUUCAUCGCAAACGCGGCCACUGGCCCGCGAGCGCGUAGUCUUGAGGAGCCAAAGCUCCUCGAACGCGAGCCUUAUUUCGCGAACGCAAAGGUCUGUCAGACCUAACCCAUCGUGAACGCGAUGAGCCUGUCAUGAACGCGAUGGGUAAAUUCGCCUAGUUGUUUUAAAAGAUCAAAACAGUAGCCAUUACGUGAUUACACCAAAAUUUUAUAACUUCUUCAUUUCAAUUCCAAAUUGGGCGAUUUUUGAAAAGGGAUUUCACCACCAAUUCAUAGGUAUGUAAUCUUAGAUUCAUUUUCUUCAAUUUCAAUCAACACCUAUUAGAUUUCUAGGCUUAAACCAUGUGAUUAAGGGUAGACAAUUAGGAAUUUGGGUAGAGUUAGGGCUUUUUGAUUAUUUGUGAUUUAGACCUCGUUUUGGGGUCGAAUUCUAGAACUAACUAUAUAUUUGGGCUCGUUGAUGAAUGGGUGAUCGGGUUUUGAUCCGAACCUCGUGUUUUGACCAAGCGGGCCCGGGGUCAAUUUUUGGAUUUUUGGGAAGAAUGACUAGAAAGCUAUGAUUAAGUAUUGGAAUUGGAUUGUUUAGCAUUUAUUGAUGUAAUUAAAUCGAUUAUGUAUAGAUACAAUUUAUUUGGAGCCGAAUUCGAAAGGAAAGGCGGUAUUUGAGGAUUGAGUUAGCCGUGGAAGUUUGAGGUAAGUGAUCGGUCUAACCUUAGCUUGAGGGAUUAGGAGUUGAGUCCUAUUUUCUAUUUGCUUCUUGUUGAGUACGACGUAUAGACAUUGUGACGAGUAUCUAUACGUUGGUGUCGAGCAUGACCGUGAGUCUUAAAUUGAUACUUCUUGUAUUCUUAAAUGAUACUAUGGAUGCUUUAGUGGGUAAAUUCUUGACAUAGAGUAAAGGCUUAGUUUAUUUUUGUGGAAUCUACUUAUGAUUGAGUAAUGGUGAUAACUGAGAUGAGUAGGAGUUGAGUUAAGAUUGGUUAUAGCUAAUUCUCCCUUGCCGGGACGUAUAUACUUGUACUGUGAAUUCCCUUGCCGGGAUAGUGUAGUUUAUUGUUGAUCCCUUGCCGGGACGGUUAUUAUGAUUAUUGUUGACUGAAUAUUUGGAACGGGUUGCGCGCCGCAAUAUUUUUAUUAUAUAUGGAUCGGGUUGCACGCCGCAAUAUUAUUAUAUAUUGAUCGGGUUGCAUGCCACAACAAUGUUAUGUUGGAUAGGGUUGCACGCCGCAACAAGUAUUAUAUUGGAUCGGGUUACACGCCGCAACAGUUAUAUAGAUGGAUCGGGUUGCACGUCGCAACAGUGUUAAAUGAUAAGGGAUCGGGUUGCGCGCCGCAACAAUAGUAUUACUGUAUUAUUGUAGAUAUUGUACUGUCCUUUCAUAUUUCUAUUUAGUUUCUGCUAGAUUUUAUAUGUUCCCCGAAGCAUGUACCCCCUCCCAUUUAAACUGCUUAUUCCUAUUUAUUUUCCGCCGUAUGUUAUAUAACUGCACAGGUUUAUCUGGAGUCUGGUCCUAGCCUCGUCACUACCUCGUCGGGGUUAGGCCAGACACUUACCAGCAUAUGGGGUCGGUUGUGCUGAUGCUACACUCUGCACUCUGUGCAGAUACCGGAGCAUCAUUGGGACAGUAGCUUGGGAGCCAACCUUCAGUCCAUCGAGAUUCCGAGGUAGUCUUGUAGGCGUCCGCAGGCCCAGCGUCUCUUCUAUCUGUUAUUAUGUUCUGUUAUCACUUGUAUCCGAGACAGACUAUCUUUCUUUCUUUCAGACAUUUGUAUGUAGUAAUCAUAGACAAUCCAUGAAUGUUGUGACACAGGUUUCUAGGUAG